GAUGAACGCUGGCGGCGUGCCUAAUACAUGCAAGUCGAGCGAACGGACGAGAAGCUUGCUUCUCUGAUGUUAGCGGCGGACGGGUGAGUAACACGUGGAUAACCUACCUAUAAGACUUGGAUAACUUCGGGAAACCGUAGCUAAUACCGGAUAAUAGUUUGAACCGCAUGGUUCAAAAGUGAAAGACGGUCUUGCUGUCACUUAUAGAUGGAUCCGCGCUGCAUUAGCUAGUUGGUAAGGUAACGGAUUACCAAGGCAACGAUGCAUAGCCGACCUGAGAGGGUGAUCGGCCACACUGAAUCGGAGCCACGAUCGAGACUCCUACGGGAGGCAGCAGUAGAGAAUCUUCCGCAAUGGGAGAAAGCGUGACAUAGCAACACGGCGUAAGUGAUGAAGGUGUUCGGGGCGUAAAACUCUGUGAUUAGGAAAGAACAUAUGUGCAAGAAACUGUGCACAUCUUGACGGUACCUAAUCAGAAAGCCACGGCUAACUACGUG
rnacentral:rRNA from 1 species